rnacentral:lncRNA from 1 species
AGCCAACCAUUUUGCAAUAAGGCAAGCUUUAUAGCGGUCCACAGUACCAUCAAUUUUUGUUUAAUCUUGUAUACUCAUUUACAACUGUUAUCAGAGUUACCAUGAGGCAAAUCAAUCAAUCUCAAGUAUGAUAUUUGUCUAAAACUUGCAACUCGUCUACCAUUGCUCGUUGUCAAAGAGGAUUAAUGUAAUGUAUUCACAUUACCAAAUGAAGAGUACAAGCCCCCCAUUAUAUAUAAAUUGAGAAGGCAAUCGGGUGUAAUUGCAAUUGAUGUAAACUACAACUAGCGAAUCUCAAAUGUACAUUCUAACGCGGUUUUCUAUCGAGGGCGAGCUUCGCGUCCGCCAGCCUUGUCUCUCUUGAAGCUGACAACUGAAGAGACGUACAGUAUUACACAUAAGAGGCCAUGAACAAAGCAUAGACCUCCGCCGAUCAACAGGAAAUGGGGAUGCAAGAACCUGCACGACCCUUGCAAUUUCAAGUUCUCUAACAUGCCGAAGACCAGCAUCGGGAAUCCAACGGCUGCGACGAUCCUGUCGGUUCAGCAACGUACUUAGAGCUUUGCUUCAGACAGCUCCAAAGUGAAAAAUCAACUGGGGUCCAAAAACUAAAUAGUAAAAUCUCCAGGGGAGAUCUCUAAGGAUCUGGUAUUUAAUAUACGAAGUGCUUUCCGUUUAUUUAUAGGGUAAAAGCAAGAAACAUGGGCAUUUCAAAAGGAUCUAGCACAUGGACAAUAAGAGGUGAGCACAUCUGGACAGAAAGCCGAUCGGAACCAAACUAUUUUAAUAUGGUUGAGAAAAAUAAAAUAAAAUCGAACCACAGUGUAAUUCAAACAGAAACCAAAUCAAAACCCUUUUUCGCAUACCAUACCAUUUUCCUCUUGUGUAUCUUUUCUUAUUUUUCGUUAAUUUUAUGAAUGUGAAUUCGCUGAAAAUAGCUUAAAAAGGGCGUUAGCUUCAGGAAGAAAUUAAACUCUAUGCUCACAAGAGAUCAAGCUCUUCUCUCUGAUCUGAUGGUUUCUAUUACCCAACCCUCCUUGUUGUGUUGAAAGUGUAAAAACUCAAAAUGAUAUCUACUCCGUAUAUGUGUGAAGGGAAGUGAUUCUUUACUUUCAAUCCAAAGAUCAUAGCUAUGCUGCCCAUAAAAUAAAAUCUUAGCAAGAAGAGCUGGGUCUCUUCAAAAAUAAAUGACAUAAAUAUAGGUAAAACGAUUCAAUUCUUGAGUUCUGCAAAGACCAUUUCGAUUUGAGUGACGAACCUCUUAGUUUUCCUUUCAAAAUCCUCUUGAAUCAAAGGUUCUAGGAAUAGUUAGGUUCGAGAUUCGAGGUUCGACCUGGUUCGUCUUUUGAACCAUUUAUGGGUUACCCUCCAUAGUCGAACAACGAAAAGAUCUUGGCUGGACUCAAAAGGUUAAGCGAUCUGAAGUGUUGAAUGGUAAGUUUCCAUGUGGAACCAAUGUAUCUACAGCUCAAAUGAGUCCGUAGUAAGAACCUCAACAUGAUCACUAGGGGACAGUGAGUAUGGUUUGAGUGGGCGGUUCCUAUCCUAGAACCAAAAAUUGCCCGUUAGUUUCGUAGACCCAUCGACAAACCGGACUGACAAUCCGAUUCUUGAGUGGGUCCAUCCAACCAAUCCCACCAAGCUAAGCUGGACAAAUUAGAAAAUGGCAAGAGAAAGAACCCAGAACAAGAAACUCGGUUUUGCAGAGUGAGAAUAAUCUUGACGUCCAAGUGUAAUCUGAAAGCAAUUUGUCAUAUAGCAAGACAGAGAAAUAUAGUCUCCUAGCAGCAUAUCAAAGUGUUGAAGGUCUCUAAAGUCUUAAACUGUCUACACGAAGCUGGUCAAUUGCAGUAACGACAUCCAUAGCAAAGCCUCCAAAGCUCUUAUACAACGACUUGUAAACAGCAAUGCUGAAGAUAGAAAUUGAGAUCUUAACAUAAAAAAGUAAUGAAUCAUUUUUUGCUGGAGGUGUAAGUCGAUCUUUGAAUAAAGCAGACAAACAGAGGCAAUUGUCAUUUACUAGUGCAUAAUAAUCACUUUCAAUAAUGAAAUAAAUAAAUAAAUCAAAUGAAUAGAGAGAUAUAAUGCAGAGUACAACCAACAAAAGAAUACCUUUUUAAAAA